rnacentral:rRNA from 1 species
CACGUAGGGUGCGAGCGUUGUCCGGAAUUAUUGGGCGUAAAGAGCUCGUAGGCGGUGUGUCGCGUCGGCCGUGAAAACCUGCAGCUUAACUGUGGGCUUGCGGUCGAUACGGGCAUCACUGGAGUUCGGCAGGGGAGACUGGAAUUCCUGGUGUAGCGGUGAAAUGCGCAGAUAUCAGGAGGAACACCGGUGGCGAAGGCGGGUCUCUGGGCCAUAACUGACGCUGAGAAGCGAAAGCAUGGGGAGCGAACAGG